ACGCCUCGACAUCCUGUCCAUGUAUAUCACAAACAGGAUUGGUGACAAGGCGCAGCC
ensembl:miRNA gmo-mir-11195 gmo-mir-11195